AGAUUGAACGCUAGCGGGAUGCUUUACACAUGCAAGUCGAACGGCAGCGCGGACUUCGGUCUGGCGGCGAGUGGCGAACGGGUGAGUAAUGUAUCGGAACGUGCCUAGUAGCGGGGGAUAACUACGCGAAAGCGUGGCUAAUACCGCAUACGCCCUACGGGGGAAAGGGGGGGAUCGCAAGACCUCUCACUAUUAGAGCGGCCGAUAUCAGAUUAGCUAGUUGGUGAGGUAAAGGCUCACCAAGGCCGCGAUCUGUAGCUGGUUUGAGAGGACGACCAGCCACACUGGGACUGAGACACGGCCCAGACUCCUACGGGAGGCAGCAGUGGGAAUUUGGACAAUGGGGGAACCUGAUCCAGCCAUCCCGCGUGUGCGAUGAAGGCCUUCGGGUUGUAAAGCACUUUGGCAGGAAGAAACGGCAUUCCAUAAUACGGGUGUCGACUGACGGUACCUGCAGAAUAAGACACGCUAACUACGUGCCAGCAGCCGCGUAAUCUA
rnacentral:rRNA from 1 species